rnacentral:lncRNA from 1 species
UCAUAGAAUUGAUUCGGUUAUGAAUUACUUACACUUUUUCUUUAAAAUUACUUCUUAUGUUUCCCACUGACUUAUGGGGGCAUGGUUGCUUUAAUUGUUUUCUUCAGUGUGCCUAGCGGGCUUAUGGGGGGUAAUUAGGUUGUGUUUGGUUUGCCUUUUAUUACUGUGAUAUUUAUCUUUUUGUGUUGUUUGUACCUAUUUCCUUUAUUGCAUUUUCAUAGCUCGAUAGUUUUUUACAUUUAUAUCCCUAUUUAUUAGUGUCUUAG